GACGAACGCUGGCGGCGUGCUUAACACAUGCAAGUCGAACGGGCCCGCUCUCUUUUUUGGGGGUGGGUUGAGUGGCGAACGGGUGAGUAUCACGUGAGUAACCUGCCCCCUGCUCCUGGAUAACUGCUUGAAAGGGCGGCUAAUACGGGGUGUGCCGGCUGGUCCGCAUGGGCCUGGUCGGGAUAGUUUCAUCUUCGGGUGUUUCGGUGGGGGAUGGGCUCGCGGCCUAUCAGCUUGUUGGUGGGGUGAUGGCCCACCAAGGCGGUGACGGGUAGCCGGCCGGGGGGGUGGGGGGGCCACAGGGGGACUUGGACACGGCCCAGACUCCUGGGGGAGGCGGCGGUGGGGGGUAGUGCACAAUGGGGGGAAGCCUGAUGCAGCGACGCCGGGGGAGGGGUGGGGGCCUUCGGGUUGUGACCCUUUUUCCCCGGGGGUGAAGGCCCUGUCCGUUGGGGGGGGGUUGACGGUAGCCGGGUAUGAAGCGCCGGCUAACUACGU
rnacentral:rRNA from 1 species